rnacentral:rRNA from 1 species
UACGGAGGGUGCAAGCGUUGUUCGGAAUCACUGGGCGUAAAGCGCGUGUAGGCGGCCUACUAAGUCUGAUGUGAAAGCCCGGGGCUCACCCCCGGAAGUGCAUUGGAUACUGGCAGGCUCGAGUCCCGGAGAGGAGGGUGGAAUUCCUGGUGUAGCGGUGAAAUGCGUAGAUAUCAGGAGGAAUACCGGUGGCGAAGGCAGCAUCCUGGACCGACAUUGACGCUGAACGGCGAAAGCUAGGGGAGCAAACGGG